rnacentral:ncRNA from 2 species
CAACAGGGAUUGCCCCAGUAACGGCGAGUGAAGCGGCAACAGCUCAAAUUUGAAAUCUGGCUCUCGGGCCCGAGUUGUAAUUUGUAGAGGAUGCUUUUGGUGAGGUGCCUUCCGAGUUCCCUGGAACGGGACGCCAUAGAGGGUGAGAGCCCCGUCUGGUUGGACGCCGAACCUCUGUAAAGCUCCUUCGACGAGUCGAGUAGUUUGGGAAUGCUGCUCUAAAUGGGAGGUAUAUGUCUUCUAAAGCUAAAUACCGGCCAGAGACCGAUAGCGCACAAGUAGAGUGAUCGAAAGAUGAAAAGAACUUUGAAAAGAGAGUUAAAAAGUACGUGAAAUUGUUGAAAGGGAAGCGCUUGUGACCAGACUUGGGCUUGGUUGAUCAUCCGGGGUUCUCCCCGGUGCACUCUUCCGGCCCAGGCCAGCAUCAGUUCGCCCUGGGGGACAAAGGCUUCGGGAACGUGGCUCUCUCCGGGGAGUGUUA